UGGGGAGGAAAGUCCUCUUUCUGCCAAGCUUCUUCACCUAUGCCAAGUACGAUGUGCAAGUGGAUGGUAAGAUAGGGCUGUUCCGAGGCCUGAGGUCCCGGCUGAUGUCCAACGCCCUCUUUACUGUGACCUGGGUAGUAUGAAGAAGGUUUUCCCUCCAGAUGAGAUCUAGCAGGUUUCCAACAAGGAUGAUAUGAAGACUUCCCUGAAGAAAGUGGUGAAGGAGACCUCCUAUGGGAUAAUGAUGCAGUGCAUGUCCCGCAUGUUGGCCUACCCGCUGUGUGUCAUCUCAAUGCGCUGGAUGGUCCAGUUUGUGGGAUGGGAAGCCAAGUACAGUGGUGUGCUGAGCUCCAUUGGGAAACUUUUCAAAGAGGAAGGGCUGCUGGGAUUUGUUGGAUUAAUCCCUCACCUCCUGGGUGAUGUGGUUUUCUUGUGGGGCUGUAACUUACUGGCCCACUUCAUCAGUGCCUACCUGGUGGAUGACAGUUUCCACCAGGCCCUGGCCGUCCGGAGCCACACUAAGGGCUUGAUGGGGAUUGCAGUGAGCAUGCUGACCUACCCCUUCCUGCUAGUUGACGACUUCCUGGCUGUGAACAACUGCGGCCUGCAGGCUGGGCUCCCCUGUUACUCCCCGGUGUUCAAAUCCUGGAUUCACUGCUGGAAAUACCUCAGUAUGCAGGGCCAGCUCUUCCGAGGCUCCAGCCUGCUUUUCCGCUGGGUGUCAUCAGGAUCAUGCUUCGUCCUGGAGUAACCUGAAUCAUCUAAAAAACACGGUCUCAACCUGGCCACCGUGAGUGAGGCCUGACCAUCUCGGGAUACCUGCAAGACGACUCCAACCCAAGAACAAUCAGAUGUGCUCCAGCCCAGCCGGGUUUCAAUUUCCAUAUUUGCCAUGUGUCUAUCCAGAUGUGGAGUUGGGUGGAGGUGAGGCUGCACCCAGUGGAUUGGGUCAUCUGCCAGACCUGGGAAAGGUAGGGGGAGG